rnacentral:rRNA from 1 species
CAGUAGCCACGGUAAUACGGAGGGGGCUAGCGUUGUUCGGAAUUACUGGGCGUAAAGCGCACGUAGGCGGCUUUGUAAGUCAGAGGUGAAAGCCUGGAGCUCAACUCCAGAAUUGCCUUUGAGACUGCAUCGCUUGAAUCCGGGAGAGGUGAGUGGAAUUCCGAGUGUAGAGGUGAAAUUCGUAGAUAUUCGGAAGAACACCAGUGGCGAAGGCGGCUCACUGGUCCAUUACUGACGCUGAGGUGCGAAAGCGUAGGGAGCAAACAGGAUUAGAUACCCCGGUAGUCCCUGUCUCUUAUAA